UCCCAUCCCGCGAAAUGUCGCCGAUUGUGGCGGCGCCGCCCCGUCUGGAAGUGAUGACGAUAAGGCUAGCGGGGUGGGUUGCA
rnacentral:sRNA from 12 species